rnacentral:rRNA from 1 species
AUGAACGCUGGCGGCGUGCUUAACACAUGCAAGUCGAGCGGAAAGGCCCUUUCGGGGGUACUCGAGCGGCGAACGGGUGAGUAACACGUGGGUAAUCUGCCUUGCACUCUGGGAUAGCCUUGGGAAACUGAGAUUAAUACCGGAUAUGACAUGUGCCUGCAUGGGUGUGUGUGGAAAGUUUUUUCGGUGCAAGAUGUGCUCGCGGCCUAUCAGCUUGUUGGUGAGGUAAUGGCUCACCAAGGCUUCGACGGGUAGCCGGCCUGAGAGGGUGACCGGCCACACUGGGACUGAGACACGGCCCAGACUCCUACGGGAGGCAGCAGUGGGGAAUAUUGGACAAUGGGCGGAAGCCUGAUCCAGCAACGCCGCGUGAGGGAUGAAGGCCUUCGGGUUGUAAACCUCUUUCAGCACAGACGAAGCUGAUCCUUUUUGGGGUGGGUGACGGUAUGUGCAGAAGAAGGACCGGCCAACUACGU